UACGGAGGGUGCGAGCGUUGUCCGGAUUUAUUGGGUUUAAAGGGUGCGUAGGUGGCCCUGUAAGUCAGUGGUGAAAUACAGCCGCUUAACGGUUGAGGUGCCAUUGAUACUGCAGGGCUUGAAACAAGUGGAGGCUGCCGGAAUGGAUGGUGUAGCGGUGAAAUGCAUAGAUAUCAUCCAGAACACCGAUUGCGAAGGCAGGUGGCUACGUUUUGAUUUGACACUGAGGCACGAAAGCAUGGGGGAGCAAACAGG
rnacentral:rRNA from 1 species